rnacentral:lncRNA from 1 species
CAAAGGCCGAGUGAGUUCAUGUAAAAAGGAGGCCGAGUGAGCCCAUCACUGGGAGAACACAGCCACACACAACGCCGACGGCUAUCCCAGCUCGGCACCUCCGCCGCCGUACUCCCUCCAUCUCCCCAAUCUCGUAUUUGCUUUCUCUGCACUCCCCAACCUCUCGUGCGCCGAAGCGGACAGGGGACCAGCUCGAGAUCGGGCCGAGGAGACCGGUGACCGUUGAGCACCACCGGCGGCAACCGGCGUGGUGGUGGCGGAGGAGGAGGAACAUGGGCAGCGUCGGCGGCGCCGGUGGUGAACAGAGCGCGAGCGGCGGAGCGGGCGGGGGCAGGCGGCGGCGGCCUCUCGCUCUCGGGCUUGGGUAAGAGCAACCUGAACUGUCUUACAGUCUGUACUACCCUGAGAUACAAUAGUAAGCCUGUACUCUGUACCACACUCAGAUAUAAGUCUGUACUAUUAUGCUGUCCAUAGACAUACAAGUAGAAUGUUGCAAUGCUUGGCGCAUUGCGGUGCAUCCCAGUAAACUCUGAUUCAGACACCAAGUUUUUCUCCGGCCAUUUGCUUAUUGAUUGUGUAAAGAAAAAUCUUACUAAUGUGGCUAUUGUAUACCAUAGAUGUCACGGCCUGCAUUGCAGUUUCACACCACAAUCCCAACCAGUGCGUAAAUGAGUUUGUUGAAUUUGUAGAUGAUAUCUGAUAGCACUACAUCUGUUACCCAAUAUCUAUAGUACUUUGACAGAUUGGCAUGCCCUUUUCUGUUUACAUAUUUGCUUGUACAAUAAUAUAACCUUUAAGCUGAUGAAUAGCCGGUUCGGCCGUUCCUGGUGCUUGCUUAUCCUGGGGUUAGGAGGAAGAGGAAGAGCUCAUCUCAUGCAAGGUCAUCUCGCCGAAGCACACUUACAACUUACAAGCUGUGGCCGUAGCCACACCUGUUCUACAGCGCCAGUAAUGGAAAGGCCAUUCCCAAAUUCUGACACCUCAAUCUCAAUAUGUGUACAUAUCACCAGGUAAUAGAGGAUGUUCCCAAACAAAUGCAAGAUGUGCAUGAGAAACAAAUGAGUAAUUACAGAGUUGAUAGCUUAGCAGCUGAGGUGAUCCUCCUAUCGUAAACUCUUUAUGCAGAUGGUACUUAUCAUUGUACCAGAUCUAUCAAUCUUGUUCAUGAGGCAACAAAUCUAGCUAUUGACGGUAAUAACGUACUUACAGGCUUUCAUAUCAAUGCCUCAUUAGCGUACAUCAUAGAUAAGUAAGCACUCU